GACGAACGCUGGCGGCGUGCCUAAUACAUGCAAGUCGAGCGGACGAAUCGAAAGCUUGCUUUUGAUUCGUUAGCGGCGGACGGGUGAGUAACACGUGGGCAACCUGCCCUGUAGACGGGGAUAACACCGAGAAAUCGGUGCUAAUACCGGAUAACACGAAAUGUCGCAUGACGUUUCGUUGAAAGACGGCGCAAGCUGUCGCUACAGGAUGGGCCCGCGGCGCAUUAGCUAGUUGGUGAGGUAACGGCUCACCAAGGCGACGAUGCGUAGCCGACCUGAGAGGGUGAUCGGCCACACUGGGACUGAGACACGGCCCAGACUCCUACGGGAGGCAGCAGUAGGGAAUCUUCCGCAAUGGACGAAAGUCUGACGGAGCAACGCCGCGUGAGCGAAGAAGGCCUUCGGGUCGUAAAGCUCUGUUGUUAGGGAAGAACAAGUACCGCAGUAACUGGCGUUACCGUGACGGUACCUAACGAGAAAGCCACGGCUAACUACGUG
rnacentral:rRNA from 1 species